UACUAAGCAACACUUCUAAAACGUUCUCUUUUAAUAGAAAGGGCACACCGCUUAAGUGCUGCCAAAUCAUGGGACAUACGUCCGUUGGAAUCCCAAAUUGAUCUAUCAGCAAAUUUCUCACUUGAAGGAUUAGGGCUUACUACCAUUGUUUGAAAUGUGGUUGCACAUUAAAAAUUGACAAACCCAAAUUAAUCUGUCAAUUAAAGAUAGCUCGUUGAUAAAAUUAUUAGAGUUAGGGCUCCAUCAAAGAGUUAGGGCUUAAAACCGAAGCGCACAAAUCAAGCAUUGAAGUUUGUUGUUCAGUAAGCUGCGGUGAUGGGAAGGAGUGAGAUUGACACAGGUAUUCGGACAAAUCUGACACUUUUUCAUUCACUUAAAGCAACAUACUUUUGUUGUUUAGAAACUUAGGAAUUUUUUGGCGAUGUUCUGAAAAUGGUGGCGAGAAGUCGAUUUCAUAUGUUUAAAGUUAUUGAUCAAGACAAUUGAAAAAUUGUGAUGUUUAUUAACCAUGAUACUAAAUGAAUAUGUUCAGUUUUGUAAACCAUAUUGCUAGAAUGCACAUUGAAAUAUUUGGCUUUGUUAGUUAAUGUAGUAUACGAAAUGUUUGUUUUUCGAGGUUCAUUGUAAUAAAUUUGAAAUUUUUUUCUUAUUUAUUUAA